GCCCCUUGCUGCUGGUUGCAAAACUCCAUGUGAGCUCCUGGCCAUCAUGGGUGCACUGUGCAAACAUUAGCAGCUUAACAUCGAAUGGGGGAGUUGGGGCAACAGAGUUCCCUAUACCAAAAGCCAGUUAACAGUCUAGCACCACUUCUUUGCACCUAAUGAAGUUUCUGAACACUCUUCAAAGGAAGUCUCACAUAGAACAUCUUACAAUACACAAAGCAGGAUGUCACCAGGGUGAAUUAAAACAAAUAUAUGAAUACAGUGAUUGUCAUAUAUCACAUAGUUUAUGUGAUUCCUGAUUGGCUAAGACUGCGAGUAUGAGGUUAAUUUGGGACCAGUAUGGAAGGACUCAUUUUCACUGUGAUUAGAUUGACAGGUCUGGAACUGGUUUGAGGUCAGGAAGGCAAGUACAUUAAUCACGAACUCUGUUCUCAAUAUGCUCUGCAGGUUCCCCCUCCGAUUUCCGGGAGAGAGGUGCACCAGCAUUCUGGAAGCAUAGGAGCAGCUUCGAACUGCCAAAGAAGGAAGCAAGAAAGUGAACAUUCUCCCCUAUGAGCUACUCAGAAUAGCUGAGAGAUACCCUACUUCCUAGUGCUGGAGCAGCAAUCACCCUUUUGCUCAUCACCCUGGAAAUGCAAAAAUCGGGAAGAACUUUCUUGCUUUUCCCCCCAGCAAUAAAAUAUUAUACUGCCAAGGAAAUUGUGUAAGAAAUAAGUGAAGAAUUGGACCUGAGAACUAUACGAUGGUCUAGGAGUCAGGUAACCUAACCAUGAAGGAACUGGCAAGGUUAGGUGGGGAUAAUUCAAAACAGAAUUUAUUAAAGUAGAUAUUGAUUAAGAAUGUGAAACAGAGGAGGGGACUGACACUGAUACCUUUUGGCUGUGUUUUACUGAUGUUAUAGGUCAUAGUUAUGGAGAUAGUGAAGUUUGUGAGUACAAACAAGAACAAGCUUGUCUUUUGCCUUCCCCACAGAUGAAUACUGAAAGAAAAUCCAUAAUUUCAGCCACAGGCAUAUGCUUGUAGUAUUUACUAGCAAAGGAUGUACUGUUCUCAACACUGGAUUAAAUUUAGUUGAAACUACAGGAUAAUGGCAGGCCAUCCAAUCUUUCUCUGAUUAACCGUGCAUUACAUUGUGAGGUUGUAAAACCUAGCAUUUCCAAUCUGUAUUCUGUUAGAAAAACAGUAAAGGUUCAGCUGCACUAACAUAAACAGAGGACAAUGACUGAAUCACAGCACUGGAAGAGGAGGGUUGUGAAGAAGGAAAAACUAAAAAGUCGUAUAGUUAUUCUUUCCAAGUGGACCAUUAGCUUUGAGGCACUGAACUAGGAGUGACUCCAUUUGAGCUUUGAGCUACAUAUUAAGGUUAAAAUGAGUGAGUACAAACUCUAAUUACAAGAAUUACUGCUUUACAAGAAUUUCUGUCUACAGUAAUCUUUUAGAUGCAAAAUCUGUAGAACUGGGUAAUUAUGAUACUUAUAAGAGUCCUCAGUAUAUCAGAGAGAGCUCUAAAGAAUAGAUUAAAAUUGUGAUAUCUGCUAUCAGCUCUUAUAAUAAAUCAAGUGACUGACUAAUUAUUAAAUUUCUGCCCUUUAGUGGUUUAAAUACUUGGAUAUCAUGAAUAAGAAUAUUCCUUAAAAUAUGGGCAAAACAAGUAUCUCCUAGAAGCUUAGUAAGCAGAUGCACAUGCAAGUGAACUUACAAAGCAAAGUCCGAACAUGAACCAAUCAAGUGCCUUCUAUCUGCAUCCAGCUACCUAGAGGUGUGGCAGACAUAUUCCUACUCCAUUGAAACUGGGCUUAGGAUCCCUUACGGAGAUCCACUCUUUUCUUUCUAGAGAAUAUUAUACAUUCACCUUUUCACAGGUUUGCUCAUAUGUGCAGACAUUUUCAAUCAGAGAAACCGCAAAAGGGUAUAACUGGUUUGCUUGGUGAGCUUUGUUGACUAUUGCAAGAGGAACACGGAACCCUAGCCACUUAAGAUUAUGGACUUCCUUGGAAAGUGUGGUUAUUUCUGGGAAAAAGUUGGCUUUUAGUUUGAGGACAUUACCUGUUCGGCCUCUGACACAAGUGCUUUCACUGGUGAAAAUGUGACCAGAGACACAAAGGUUACGUUGCUGAACCUUCCUGGCCAAAUCAUCAAAUAUUUCUUGAGUAUUGAGCUUCAUACGGAAGCUGUCUCCAUCUUAUUUCUGGCCUUCAACAUGAUUCUUCCAACCCUUCCCAAGAACACCUUCAACACACUUCGUGUAAAUUAUGAGCUACCGGCCAAUCUGUUUAGCCCAAAUUAUAGAACCUGACACAGGAGGCAAAUCUCACAAGUGACUCAUUUUGCAAGUAUGGCUUUGCUGAUACUGCACUUUAAAUUUGUCAUGGAGCCACUCUAUGUCAUCUUUCACAUUCUGGUUUAACUGUGUUUGGUAUUCAUGGAUGGUACUUCUGAUUCUGCUUAACAUACAUGCUACAGAAACAAUAUAGUAAUAAUUAACUUCAAUAAAUCAAAAGAACCAAAUAAUACACAAACAAUAAACUAUGACGCAAAAUUAGUGUAAGCAAGGAGUAAGUGCAGCAUGGCCAUUUUUGUGCUGGUUAACAUUUUCUUCCACUGUAGCCCUCCCCUGUCAUGCUGGCCUACACUCCCCAUCAUUAAUUUUGGUAAAUCAGGAUGAUUGGUCACAAUGGAAAAUAGUAAGCCUUGGAAGGACACGUGGAGAAAUCACAGUUGGAAACUGGCCAAAACCUACACAGGGAAACUCUUUGUCUUGGAAGGGCACCAGAACCAAUCAAUAUUCCAAUCAAAGAACCAGAACCAAUCAAAGGCCCGGGCUGUGGCGCAGGCUGGAGAGCAAGCCAGCUGCAACCACCUGCAAUGAAUCACUCUAACCAGGAGGUCAUGAGUUCAAGGCCUGCUCAGAGCCUAUGUUUGUCUUGUCUUUGUUCUAUGUUAAAAGGCAUUGAAUGUUUGCCUAUAUGUGUAAUGUGAUCCGCCCUGAGUCCCCUUCGGAGUGAGAAGGGGAAUA